rnacentral:tRNA from 1 species
GGGGCAGUAGCUCAAUGGUAGAGCUCCCGUUUCGCAUUGCGAGAAGACCUGGGUUCGAAUCCCGGCUGCUGUC